rnacentral:rRNA from 1 species
UACGAAGGGGGCUAGCGUUGUUCGGAAUUACUGGGCGUAAAGCGCGCGCAGGCGGUUCUUCAAGUCUGAGGUGAAAGCCCAGAGCUCAACUCUGGAAUGGCCUUUGAGACUAGAGAACUAGGGUACGGGAGAGGUGAGUGGAAUUCCGAGUGUAGAGGUGAAAUUCGUAGAUAUUCGGAAGAACACCAGUGGCGAAGGCGGCUCACUGGCCCGUUACCGACGCUCAGGCGCGACAGCGUGGGGAGCAAACAGG